AAAAAAAAUUAACAAGGAUUACUGACAUGAUUUAUUUAUAAAUGGCUUUUUAAAAUAUAUGUAAUAUGAAUAAAGACAAAAACAUUUUUUUAAUGGCAUAACAUUAAUAGAGAAUUCCGAAUAUCAGAUAAAAAUCCAAAAACAAAACCAGCGAACCCUUUUCUGUAAAUACGACCACUUUUUAAACAGACAUAUGUUAACGCUACCAAACGCCACA
rnacentral:lncRNA from 1 species